rnacentral:misc_RNA from 1 species
CAACAAUAAAUUGCAUGUUACUCUAAUUCAGAAUUUCUGUGAUAACACAGCAAUGAAUAAAUAAGAAACAACUUCCGUACCACAUGAACCAUACUAAACAACAUUAUAACAAGGUUGGAUACUUGGCGUCAAGGAAGUCUCUCAGAGUCCGAGCAGCCUUUUGACCACCCAUUAGUUCAGUUAGCCUCUCUACAGGAAGAAGGGCAAGUUCAGAUAAGCUUUUACAUCCAUCCAUUAUGGCCCUGUAGUUGGAAUCUGUCACUCCGGGGAGUCGUCUUAAAAACUCGACACCAGAUGUGUUGUAGUUCUCAGCUCUGUAAUUGAUUAAAUGUUAGCACACGAAACAACAAUAGUAAUAACGAGCGACAGGAACUAGUCCAAUCAAAUUCUAAUUGGGUCCUGCUGCCAGGUAGGUGGGAUACAAGGUAACAAAAGCCAAUAGACUCGAACAGAAAAGUUGGCAUCUUGAGGCCCAGUGUAUUCCAUGUUUAUUCAAUGAAACUCAACCACUAGAUCCCUUGUCAAAUGCCACAUUAACUGAUGGCAACUGGGGCUUGCGCUCAACCAGUUACAUCCAGCCAUCCACCUACAUCUUACUAAAAAGCACCAGAUACAUCCAGCUAAAUAAAAGUAGCAAAUUCUCCCUCCAUCUUCCCUCAAAGCAUAACGCAGGAAAGGAAAAUAGCACCAUGUAUCUUAUUCUUACCUCACAUCAUUUUCCACAAUACCCUCUUCUGACGGGACACCAAUUCUGAUUGCCUUGGCUUCAUCGGGUUCAUCCUGAUUUGCCUUCAGUGAAGCAAAUAUUUCAGCAGUAGCAUGCAAACUGCGAGACCAGAUGAUUCGCAAGCGUGGAAAGUGCAUAACAAGCAAUGAGAGCUUGGAUAUGAUACUAUUUGGCGUGACAUCAUCACCAAUAUCACUUGCUGACUGAAACGAAAAGCUUUUGUCUUGCGAAAAUUCAAUCAGAAGAACAGGUAUUCUAUAAUAACGGACCAUUGUUUCCACUUGGUGGUAAAGGCGGCCAGAUGUGAAGCUCAUAAAAAGAUCUUGAAUACUCUUUCUCUCCACACAUAUUAAUGGAGAGAGGAUAUAGUCCCCCACUUCCAAGGUCACUGGUAUGAUACGCAUCCCUUUCUGGUGGAGAACAUUUGGAAGACUGCUCAUGAAUUCCCUCAUGUCCACUAUGACCUGCAUUUCCUUCUCAACUUCUUUUCUUCCACCAGCCUUUCUGGUUAUUGAAUUUUGGGAACUAGAAGGCUGCGACUCCAUAGAAGAAUCCAAUCCCAGGCAAUUUGCAUUCUGAUCAACUGGAAUCAUCAUCAAAGAUUUCUGUCGAAUCAAUGAUUCAAAUGCUCCGUUCUCCCUGCGUAUGCUUGCCUCAAACUUUUGGACCUCAGUAGAAUCUUCAUAGAAAAGAAAAUAAACUUUUAACUUCUUUGAGGGAUUUUCAGCCUUAUAGACUUCGAUUUCUCGGACAAAUGUCAUGUCCGGAUGGUAAACAAUAAUUACAGAGGGCUUCAAAAUGUCGAGUAUAGGCUGAUCGCUUUCUUGCGCGUAAAAGUGCACUGGCGGUAUUUGCUUACCGUUGCAGUAGGCAGAACUGGGCUGUUGAGUACGCCUCCAAAUAUCCCCUUGGUCUAUAGAUGCACUCUUCAAGCUGUUUUCAGGAUAACCAUCUGCAAUAGCUGGAUAAUUAUCAGCUAUUUGGCCCUUUCGCUCUGAACUAGAUAUUUCAGGCUUAUCACUUCUUGCCACUUUGUUAUUGGCAUCAUCAUCUUUAUUUCUGGAUUUCAGAGCAUUUUUUCUUCGACCUCUUUUAUCCUGUCCUUUUCCCCUUCCUUUUUGAUGUUUGCUGUCAACAAGAACCUGUGGUUCAUCGUCAACAAUAUAAUCCCUCCUACACCGAUUUCUUAUCUCCGAUGCUGCUGCCAACAGGGCAUCAUGUUCCUGCUUGUUUACACUGGUAGAUUCUGCAUUCUUUGUAGUUGUAACAGGAACAACUCCAUCAAGAAUGCCAAAUCCUUUUGAUUCCCUUGGUUUAUGUUUCUUUUUCUGAGGUAUUUGCAAAUGACGCAAUUCUACCUUGCUCAACAAGUACUUCUCCCAUUCUUCUCGCAAUACCUUCUGGGGGCCAUUUGUGACGAAAUCUUCAAGCUGCAUGCAUGAGCAUUCAUCUUUGCAUGCCACUACGACGAUGCCACUAUCAACCUCUUCACUUUCAACCAGGUCUUCUCUUGACAAGGCCUGCUUUUGUCUUUCUUCCUCUAUCUCUUCAAGAAUCUCCUGCAAUAAAAUUAUCACCUCUAAAAUAAACAUAAACAGUCCACACCUUUGUUUAUAUCAUUUAUUUUUCACCCUAAAAUUCCAAUCUAAAACAAUGAUAGACACUAUAUAACUAGAAAACAAAAUGACACGUGAAAAGGUGUGGCUCAAUCGCUAUAGAUCAUUUGCUUACAUAUAUGGGGUAGCAAGUUGAUGUAACAAUAAGAUAACAUAGACAAUGUCACUCACUCACUCACUCACACGUAACACCUUCCACUUUGGUGCUGCCUCCAAAACCUCCUCCAAUAUAACCUCACUAUUUGUACCAGUGGAUGAAGCACCAUCAGCUUUUUCCUCAUUAUCAUCAUCCCUCUUUAGUUUUCUCUUUUUGCCCAAAGUGUUCUUACUCAGCCCAUUUACUUUUGCAUCAUUUGAUCUUGCCAAACGAUAGACACGCUUCUUUGCAUGGUCAAAUAUCUUAAAGCUGGACUCUGCAAAUAUCCAAACAGACCGGAAACUCUCUGACACCCUAAGUGUAUCCAAAUAUUUCAAAUAACUCACUGCAUCAUACCUACUCAAAUCAUACAUCCAUCCAAGUCAAUUCAAAAAUUCAUAACUAGUCAAAGGUCAUUACAAAACUACCAAUGAAAAAUUAUCCAGCAUAACUGAAAACAACAAGUCAACUAGACUUAGAAACAAAUGAACUUCUUCACUAUUAUUUAGUCCAAUAAUCUAUUCAAACUUGGCAAAAUUAACCUACAUUUGUGAAACCUAUCAGCAAAUAAAACAUUCUUCAGCUAACAAUAUCACGGAGCCUAUCAAUUUUCUCCAUUUAACAGAAUAUCCAUAACAAAUCAAUCAGUAAACCCACAAUUAACCCAGCAAUCAAAAAGUAAAAACGUUUUGACCCAAAUAAUUAAGUUCAAGCUUUACCUAACAAGAUAAUCCAGCAACUUUCUUAAGGUCUUCAAAUCCGAAACCAGUUGCUUUGUCUUCUUCCCCAAGAUAUGCCAAAUGGGAUCCAACUGCCUCCUCACAAUCUCAUCAAACGACUUAAACAACCCAUUCUCUACCGUCAAAUCCUCGACGUCCACUUUAUUGGUCUUUCUCAUCUCUUUCAAACACGCAUCCAUAACUUCCACAAUCGCCUUCUGUAUCCCCAACAUGUACUUAGUCAUCGGCACCCUCACAUCAACCACCUCCGGCGGGGCCCUCUCCAGCUCCUCGGAUACGUAAACCUGAAACCUCGGCCAAAGGUGCAGUUUUUUUAUAUAAAGAGACUUCAUUAUCCGUUCAGUCUUAGAAAACCCAGCCACCAUAGCGUGCGGCUUGUCGGUGAAGGCACGGAUGUAAAUAGACUGAGUUAGGGUUUUGAGGAUUCGAGCUAUGAAAGCUUCCGUCGAGGCUUCAGAGAGAGAGUGAACAUUAAGAAGAAUCAGUCCCGAUAGGUUAGAGACGGGGAUUUUGUUAGUUAGUAGGUCAACAAUGAGAAUUCUCGCAGUGAUGAAACAAAUUUGACCGGACGAAUAGAGGGACAGACGGUAGUGGGAGGGUAGCUCGGCGGUGAUUUCAGUGAUUUGGUGGUUUUCAGGGGAGAAGUGGUCGUGGGUUUUGAGGUGGUGGAGGAUUUGGGAUUUGAGGGAAGGAGAAGGGGAAAGGAUGAGGAGAGUGCCUUGGGAGGGGUGGUGGAGGAGAAGGAGAGAGGAAACGAGUUUGGGAAGGGAAAGACCGGAGGAAAGGAUUACAAGUCCACCGGCGGGGUCCUCCAGAAGGUCUGUGAUUAUGUGCUCGUGGAAUUGGACCAUGGUGGCCGGAUCGGAUACUGAUGAUCGGAGAGUGGCGGUGGCGGGAAGAACAAUGGAUGAUGGUG